rnacentral:piRNA from 1 species
UGUGUCACUUAUUGACAGCGUUGUCACUCU